rnacentral:lncRNA from 1 species
AAUAUUAUUUUGUUUCUUUAGAGAAAAUAUAUGUGUAGUGAUGUCCUAUGUUUUUUUUGUUAUUGUAUUGUAAUUUGAAAUGUAAUAUUAUUAUUUUUUUUUAAUCAGUUUGAAAAUACCAUUCUUUAUGCGGAUUUCUGAAUAGUCACAUAAAUCUGUCUCCAAUUGGAUGGAAAUCUGUUGACAAAAAUCUGACUACUAAGUGGAAUGGAUAAGAGUUUCUGGAGAGAUGGAGAGCUUUUCCAUGAUAAGCACAAUUAAUAUUAGCAUGCACAUCGCAGUUCUGAAAGGCAGUGGGAACGAUAAGCCACAGCCUACAUCAGUUGGUGAGCUGCUGGGGAGCAAGCGAUGUGUGUGGGCAGACAGGCCCUAGUCUGCCUUGAUUAUACACAUUGUGCAGGCGACUCUUGCUUCCCCAUAGCUAACCAGUCACAUAUUACUUUGCCGCACCAUCUGGUGAUUGUGCUACUCAAGCUCGCGCUCUCUCUCUCUGUACUUGUGUGUGUCUAGUUUUUCUGUAUGUACUGUGCGAUGUCUAUGCAGGGGGAAUUACGAAUUUACACCACCAGAUAAUUCUUAUAUAUGUUUGUUAUAUUUCUGCUAUUGGGAAUGCAGAAACAAUAUGUUAGGACAGGGCUAUGUAUGUCUGAACAUACUGUAGAAGUCAGUGACUUAUGUUUACUGUAGGUUAAUGUGGCAAUACAAAUAUGAUGACUAAAAUGAAAGGGCAUUUAGAUAACUAAAAUGGCCCACUGUUUUUGUCAUUUUGACAAUAACUGGACUAAAUCCUUAUUCAAAUGACCAAAAUGUGACUAAGACUAGACUAAAUAAAAAUUUAAAAGUGGCACAAUUAACACUACAGUAGGACUGACAAUGUCAUAACAGGGUGAGGUAAACGACUAUCAAAGCUUUUUAGGUUCUGAAAACUGUUAUAUUUGGCGAUGUUUUUUAAUCACUCUGGUUAUUAACACUACCGUAAAACAUAAAUGAGAUCAGAUUUUCAGAUAUCUGUAACAGUUUCAUUUCAUUUGACCUCCAUAACUGAACUGUGGUUUGAGUGUGUAAUGGCUAUAACAUUGUCAGGAACUCCCUGUAUGACAUUCUGAAUGACACUGUUCUGUGGGGAUUUUGAUGGGAGGCAGUAGUAACUGAUAGACGGUUUCAAAUGUUAUCCUUGGUCAGCAAACAGGUUAGCAGUAUCCCUUUUUAAUUUUUGGCUUUAAAUAGAAUCGGGGAUGUAGUUGGGCCGACUGCAUAGCUCACAGAGGCGUUGGCGUUAUAUUGCGAUGACGCAACCUCCCUAAAGUGUCAUAUCACACUCUUCAAAUGCAGACAGGCACCGAUUGCCAGUGGGGUGUUUUGGGGAACUGCUGACUGUCUGCACAGCGGCGGCCCUUAGACUCAGCGCUAGCUGGCUGUCGGCUGGCCCCUCUUUACUUGCUGUAGAUUAUGUUGCUGGUGAAUUCUUGGCUGCCAUACCUUCCCUUUGUUUUAUUAUCUGAACUAGCAUUGGACAGAAUCAAGACAAGGUGGAUGGGGAUGAACAUGCCAGCAGUGGAGGGG